rnacentral:lncRNA from 1 species
CGCAGCCCGGGUUCCCGCCGGCGCCUCUCCCUCGGCGCCUCUCCCUCCACACCUCCCCGCAAGGUGAGGGAGCCGGCUCCGGCCUUGGCCAGCCCAGAAAGGGGCUCCCACAGUGCAGCGGUGGGCUGAAGGGCUCCUCAAGCGCGGCCAGAGUGGGCGCCAAGGCGGAGGAGGCCCGGAGAGCGAGCGUGGGCUGUGAGGUCGGCCAACACGCUGUCACCUCUCAGUAUCUUCUUAAAGAGGCUUACAAUAGUGGAAUAUGUUGAAUACUGAAGAGACUGAUUCACCUUGCUCUAAAGACCUGUGGUAGACAAACAUAUUUAAUGUAAGAUCUUUGCAUGGAUGUGUUCUUCAUUUAUCAUGGUACAUUCCUAGGAGUGGAAUUGCUGUGUCAUGAGUGAAGUAAAUGUCGAUGUGAA